UUCUUAUCUAGAGAGGUGGAGGGACUGGCCCUUAGAAACCUCGGCAACGGGUUUGAUGAAAACAGAUACUGUGCCAAUUCCAGCAAGUGUUGAUCACUUGGAAAGAUAAGGA
rnacentral:ncRNA from 1 species